AUCCCUUCUCGGCCUUUUGGCUAAGAUCAAGUGUAGUAUAUAUUUCAUUGCUUUUUUUUUUUUUGAAUAGAGAGGAAGGGAGUGGGAUAGUGAGUCAGAAACAUCGAUGAGAGAGAAACAUUGAUCAGCUGCACACACCCCCCCCCCCCCCACUGGGGAUGCGCCCACAACCAAGGUACAUGUCCUUGACCGGAA